rnacentral:miRNA from 1 species
UAGACAGCAUCAAGCAUUAAUU